rnacentral:rRNA from 1 species
UACAGAGACUGCAAGCGUUAUUCGGAUUCACUGGGCGUAAAGGGUGCGCAGGCGGUUGUGUGUGUCAGGUGUGAAAAGCCCCGGGGGCUUAACCCCGGAAUUGCGCCUGAAACUACAUGACUAGAGCAUUGGAGAGGGUAGCGGAAUUCACGGUGUAGCAGUGAAAUGCGUAGAUAUCGUGAGGAACACCAGAGGCGAAGGCGGCUACCUGGACAAUUGCUGACGCUCAGGCACGAAAGCGUGGGGAGCAAAAGGG